UCAGACACUGCCUUUACCUUACAGGUUUUCUCAAUCUGUUUCUCCAGCUCUUCUAUGUCGACUGAAUGUUCACCGUCGUCCUGGAGAAAAACAGUUCAGUCAUGACCUCAGGGACUGGUCAACAGACACAAAGGAAUUCCAGGACUGGACACAGCUAUGGACAACAUUCUCACAAGCAGAAACUGCAGGACCAUCAAGCAGUCAGAGAAGGUGCUUCCAGAUAAGACCAGGCCAUGGACACGGGACAGUUCUGGAAGACACUGGACAGAAACACGAGUUACAGAAACGAACCAACCUCCAGAAUUUGCUGUGCACGGAAUUCCUUCUCCAAACGAAUUUGCUGAAUGCGCUUGAUCUUCUCCUGGGAAAAAAAGGAUGAGGGGAACAGAACAGUUGAAGCCUGGACGCUGUAAUUGAUAAAUAACGUCCCCUUGAAGACGACCUGCCACCAUCCGAAUGUGUGUCUCCCUUUUCCACCUGAGCAAAUACCACAGUGUUGUCACAGCUGUAUCUAGGCAAAGCAUAAAAAAUAUAAACCCUGUUUUCCCUGUGCAGAGUUAGAAAGAACUGGGACUGGGCUUCUCUAAUCAGCAGGCACAUGUACCUGAAUUGUUGAGCUAUAAUAUAAAAUAUAUGAUUUGAAUUAACCAUUUUUGUGACCAUGCAUCAAGUGCCCUCUGUUUUCUGUAAACUGCUAAAUAUAUUUUCUGUCAAAAUGAUGAGCAGCUGGUGUUUUAUGUCAGUAUUGAAACAGGAUGUAAAUGUUCCGUUUGUCCCUUUUUAUUUACUCUAAUGAAUGCUCAGGAUGGUUUCUUAAAAUACACAUUUUUGGUGAUGUGUUUAUAUGUAACAGAAAACAAAAGUUUUCUUGACUUCAGGAAACAGCCUUGAUUAGCUUUUAUUUCUAUUUUUGUUGUGUUCUGUUAAAUUAACAUCUACGGUUGUAAACAUUCAAGUUAGAAUAUAGUAACAACAAAUUUUAAUGUUCACAGUUGCUGUAAGAACCAUUUUACAUGAUAUUUAAGUGAUUUAAUAUUUGUUUCAGAUGUAAAACACUAAAUGUAGAGAAGCCUUGAAAAAUGGCAAUAAAUAAUAUUUAGUAAAUUCCACUAGUCAGACCUGAGUGUGUAGCGUUUCUCUUUCAGACCAUUGGUCUACAUCCAAACAAUGAAGUGAAUAUGACAACAAAAUAAUAGCUGAGUUCAGCUGGGUUGAAAAUAUACUCCACUAAUUCUUGGUUUCUUUCAA